rnacentral:tRNA from 1 species
ACAGGAGCCGGGAUAGCU